UGCUGAUUUGCUGACAUGGCGGACGGGUGAGUAAUGUCUGGAAACUGCCUGAUGGAGGGGGAUAACUACUGGAAACGGUAGCUAAUACCGCAUGACGUCGCAAGACCAAAGAGGGGACCUUCGGGCCUCUUGCCAUCGGAUGUGCCCAGAUGGGAUUAGCUAGUAGGUGGGUAAAGGCUCACCUAGGCGACGAUCCCUAGCUGGUCUGAGAGGAUGACCAGCCACACUGGAACUGAGACACGGUCCAGACUCCUACGGGAGGCAGCAGUGGGGAAUAUUGCACAAUGGGCGCAAGCCUGAUGCAGCCAUGCCGCGUGUAUGAAGAAGGCCUUCGGGUUGUAAAGUACUUUCAGCGGGGAGGAAGGGAGUAAAGUUAAUACCUUUGCUCAUUGACGUUACCCGCAGAAGAAGCACCGGCUAACUCCGUGCCAGCAGCCGCGGUAAUACGGAGGGUGCAAGCGUUAAUCGGAAUUACUGGGCGUAAAGCGCACGCAGGCGGUUUGUUAAGUCAGAUGUGAAAUCCCCGGGCUCAACCUGGGAACUGCAUCUGAUACUGGCAAGCUUGAGUCUCGUAGAGGGGGGUAG
rnacentral:rRNA from 1 species